rnacentral:rRNA from 2 species
GGACUACCGGGGUAUCUAAUCCUGUUUGCUCCCCACGCUUUCGUGUCUGAGUGUCAGUGCUGGUCCAGAUAGCCGCCUUCGCCACUGGUGUUCCUCCCGAUCUCUACGCAUUUCACCGCUACACCGGGAAUUCCACUAUCCUCUACCGCACUCUAGCUUGCCAGUAUCCACUGCCAUUCCCAGGUUGAGCCCGGGGCUUUCACAGCAAACUUAACAAACCACCUGCACACGCUUUACGCCCAGUAAUUCCGAGUAACGCUUGCACCCUUCGUAUUACCGCGGCGGCUGGCAC